AUGCCUCCGAGAAACAGGACAUAUGCAUCGGGUAGUAAAAAAAGGAAAAAGAAGAAGGCCGUAGAUAAAUUGGUACAAUCACAGCGUGGGCAUCUGCACUUAUAUUACAAGAGUACUUCCACUACUUCGAUAAACCCAGGUGAUGAGUUGGCGAUAGUUGCCAUAGAGGAAGAGCAACAAACUAAUGUGAAUUCAGAAUUCGAUCAGCAAGAAGAAAAUGUCGAAACCAACAUCGACGACAGCAAUGUAAGUGGCUCCGAGAAUGUACGUAAUUCAUCGGAUGCACAAGAACAGUCUCCUAGUGUUGAUGAACCAGUCUAUACUCUUGAUAUUUAUGAUCCAAGAAAUUGGGAUAAUCUUGACAAUAAAGCAAGAGAUGUAUUAGUUGAGGAAGGGCCAAUGAGAGAGGAAGAGAAUAAAAUGGAAUACCGUGUAGAUGAUGCAGGAAGACAUUUUUCCUAUGCUCACUAUCAUAGGAAAUUAAGCAAUGGAGAGAAACAUGAUAGAAAAUGGCUAGUUUAUUCAGAAGGUGUUGACAAAGUUUUUUGUGAGAAGCUUAAAGAACAUGAAAAUAGUGUUGAUCAUAUUAAUAACAUGAACAAGUGGAAUGAAUUAAGGAUUAGAUUACGGAAAGAGGAAACUAUUGACAAGGACUUGCAGCAUCAAAUAACAAAGGAGAAAGAACGUGUCAGGCAAGUUUUGUUAAGAAUAAUAGCCAUUCUUUACAAGGAUGAUAAUGGUAAUUUCUUAGCUUGUGUUGAGAUGAUUGCAGAAUUUGAUUUGGUAAUGCAAGACCACCUUAGACGUAUCCAGAACAAAGAAAUUCAUUACCAUUAUCUCAGUCAUAAAAUUCAGAACGAGUUGAUAUCUCUUUUGGCUGCUGACAUCACAUGUUCUAUCAUAAAGGUUGUUAAAGAGGCCAAGUAUUUCUCUGUUAUCCUAGAUUGUACCCCUGAUGUCAGUCAUCAAGAACAAAUGACUUUUUUAGUUCGUUGUGUUAAUUUGUCGGAUGGGAAAAUAAAAAUUGAGGAGUACUUUCUGGGGUUACUUGAUGUGAAUCCAAGAGCAUUAUACAUGCCAUGUGCUUGUCAUAGUCUUAAUCUCACUCUCUGUGAUAUGGCAAAAACAUGUGAGAAAGCUGUUUCAUUUUUUGGAAUUGUUCAACGCAUAUAUAUAUUAUUUGCUUGUUCUACGAAAAGUUGGAAUGUUUUGCUUAAACAUGUUCCUAGUUUGACUGUGAAAUCAUUAUCUAACACUCGUUGGGAGAGUCGAAUCAAAAGUGUUACAGCAAUAAGAUAUCAAGCCAUUGAGUUAAGGUCAGCUUUGUCUGAGUUACGUGAUGCUUCUGACACUGAACCUAAGGAUAAAAGCGAUGCAAAAAAUUUAUUUGAUGCACUUGGUCACUUUGAGUUUCUAGUUGCCAUGUGUAUUGACUCUGCUUUGAAGCAAAUAAAAGGUAUAACAUAAUAUUUUGAGAAGUACAGAGAUGAUGGGUUUUCUUCAAGUUUGACCAUCGCCAAAGGUAUUGCGACUGAAAUGGGAAUUGAUCCCGUGUUUCCAAUGAAACAGAAGGCUUUUCGUGUUAAAUAUUUUUUUGUUUUGGUUGAUAUGGCGGUCACUUCUUUGAAGGAUAGAUUUAAAGAACUAAUGGUGUUCAAAGAUAUCUUUGGAUUUUUAUUGAGCUCGGGCACCCUGAAGUCAUUAAGUGAUAAUGAACUUGAAGAGUGUUGCACAAAAUUUGCAGAAACAUUCUCUCUUGAUGGUUCAUCUGAUGUAGAGGUAUAUGAUCUUAUUUCUGAAUUGAAGAUUAUGAGAUUCACUUUGCCAAAUGGCGUAAUGUCUGCCAUGGAGAUUUUUGGGCAUGUUAGAGAAGUUGAUUGUUAUCGGAAUAUCUCCAUUGCUUAUCGCAUCUUAUUUACUGUGCAUGUGACGGCCGCAUCGGCCGAGAGAAGCUUUUCAAAGCUGAAAUUGUUGAAGAAUUAUUUGAGGUCAACAAUGACUCAAGAAAGGUUAAAUGGUUUGGCUACAUUAUGCAUCGAGAAGAAAUUAUUGGAUGAGAUUGACAUCGACCCCAUCAUAAGCGACUUUGCAUCGAGGAAUGUUAGAAGAAAUUUUUAA
rnacentral:rRNA from 1 species